UACGGAGGGUGCGAGCGUUGUCCGGAAUCAUUGGGCGUAAAGGGCGCGUAGGUGGCCCGGUCAGUCUUUGGUGAAAGCGCGGGGCUCAACCCUGCGUCGGCCAGGGAUACUGCCGCGGCUCGAGCACUGUAGAGGCAGGCGGAAUUCCGGGUGCAGCGGUGAAAUGCGUAGAGAUCGGGAAGAACACCAACGGCGAAAGCACUCUGCUGGGCCGAAACUGACACUGAGGGACGAAAGCUAGGGGAGCGAAAGGG
rnacentral:rRNA from 1 species